CUAGUAAUCGCGGAUCAGAAUGCCGCGGUGAAUACGUUCCCGGGUCUUGUACACACCGCCCGUCACACCAUGGGAGUCGGAAAUGCCCGAAGUCUGUGACCCAACCGAAAGGAGGGAGCAGCCGAAGGCAGGUCGGAUGACUGGGGUGAAGUCGUAACAAGGUAAC
rnacentral:rRNA from 1 species